rnacentral:rRNA from 1 species
AAGAUCUAGCGGCGAACGGGUGAGUAACACGUGAGAAACCUGCCCCGAACUUUGGGAUAACAGUUGGAAACGACUGCUAAUACCGAAUGCCGUUACGAAGUGGCAUCACUAUGUAACGAAAGAAUUUCGGUUCGGGAGAAUCUCGCGGCCUAUCAGCUUGUUGGUGAGGUAACGGCUCACCAAGGCUACGACGGGUAGCUGGUCUGAGAGGAUGAUCAGCCACACUGGGACUGAGACACGGCCCAGACUCC